UACAGAGGUCUCAAGCGUUGUUCGGAUUCAUUGGGCGUAAAGGGCGCGUAGGCGGCGCCGCAAGUCGACUGUGAAAUCUCCGGGCUUAACCCGGAAAGGUCAGCCGAUACUGCGGGGCUAGAGUGCAGAAGGGGCAACUGGAAUUCUCGGUGUAGCGGUGAAAUGCGUAGAUAUGCGGAGGAACACCGAUGGCGAAGGCAAUCCCCUGGGCCUGCACUGACGCUCAUGCACGAAAGCGUGGGGAGCAAACAGG
rnacentral:rRNA from 1 species